rnacentral:rRNA from 1 species
UACAGAGGCCACAAGCGUUAGUCGGAAUCACUGGGCUUAAAGGGUGCGUAGGUGGCCCACCAAGUGUCUUGUGAAAUACCUUAGCUCAACUAAGGAACAGCAGGGCAUACUGGUGGGCUCGAGGCAGGUAAGGGUCGCUGGAACAAUAGGUGGAGCGGUGAAAUGCGUAGAUAUCUAUUGGAACGCCGAUGGUGAAGACGAGCGACUGGGCCUGACCUGACACUGAGGCACGAAAGCGUGGGGAGCAAACAGG